rnacentral:sRNA from 1 species
GCCUAGCCCUGAUAGCAGUGAAAAUCCUUUAAUUCGCCGCGGCGAAUUAAAGAUUGAAGCGAAUAGCAGGAUUAAGC